ACGCCUAAUACAUGCAAGUCGAACGAAGUAGCAAUACUUAGUGGCAGACGGGUGAGUAACAUGUGGGUAUCUUCCCUUUGGUGAGGAAUAACACGAGGAAACUUGUGCUAAUACCUCAUAAGUCUUUACGGAGAAAGCUUUAUGCGCCAAUGGAUGAGCCCGCACUUGAUUAGUUUGUUGGUGAGGUAAUGGCUCACCAAGACUUUGAUCAAUAGCUGAUUUGAGAGGAUGAUCAGCCACAUUGGGACUGAGACACGGCCCAAACUCCUACGGGAGGCAGCAGUAGGGAAUCUUGCACAAUGGGGGAAACCCUGAUGCAGCGAUGCCGCGUGAGUGAAGAAGGCCUUUGGGUUGUAAAGCUCUUUCGUCGGGGAAGAAAAUGACUGUACCCGAAUAAGAAGGUCCGGCUAACUUCGUGCCAGCAGCCGCGGUAAUACGAAGGGACCUAGCGUAGUUCGGAAUUACUGGGCUUAAAGAGUUCGUAGGUUGUUAAAAAAGUUGGUGGUGAAAUCCCAGAGCUUAACUCUGGAACUGCCAUCAAAACUUUUUAGCUAGAGUAUGAUAGAGGAAAGCAGAAUUUCUAGUGUAGAGGUGAAAUUCGUAGAUAUUAGAAAGAAUACCAAUUGCGAAGGCAGCUUUCUGGAUCAUUACUGACACUGAGGAACGAAAGCAUGGGUAGCGAAGAGGAUUAGAUACCCUCGUAGUCCAUGCCGUAAACGAUGUGUGUUAGACGUUGGAAAUUUAUUUUCAGUGUCGCAGCGAAAGCAAUAAACACACCGCCUGGGGAGUACGACCGCA
rnacentral:rRNA from 1 species